rnacentral:miRNA from 2 species
CUAUACAACUUACUGUCUUUC